rnacentral:tRNA from 1 species
GCCGGGGUGGCCGAGCGGCCCAAGGCGCGGGACUUGAGAUCCCGUCCCCGCAAGGGGGCGUGGGUUCAAAUCCCACCCCCGGCGCCA